rnacentral:rRNA from 1 species
AUGUGUAGGAUAGGUGGGAGGCUUUGAAGUGUGGACGCCAGUCUGCAUGGAGCCGACCUUGAAAUACCACCCUUUAAUGUUUGAUGUUCUAACGUGGACCCGUAAUCCGGGUUGCGGACAGUGUCUGGUGGGUAGUUUGACUGGGGCGGUCUCCUCCUAAAGAGUAACGGAGGAGCACGAAGGUUGGCUAAUCCUGGUCGGACAUCA